rnacentral:rRNA from 1 species
AGCUAAUAGAUACCCCGGUAGUCCACGCCCUAAACGAUGUCUACUAGUUGUUGGUGGAGUAAAAUCCAUGAGUAAACGCAGCUAAACGCGUGAAGUAGACCGCCUGGGGAGUACGGUCGCAAGAUUAAAAACUCAAAGGAAUUGACGGGGGCCCGCACAAGCGGUGGAUUAUGUGGAUUAAAUUCGAUGCAACGCGAAAAACCUUACCUGGCCUUGACAUGCCACUAACGAAGCAGAGAUGCAUUAGGUGCCCGUAAGGGAAAGUGGACACAGGUGCUGCAUGGCUGUCGUCAGCUCGUGUCGUGAGAUGUUGGGUUAAGUCCCGCAACGAGCGCAACCCUUGCCAUUAAUUGCCAUCAUUUAGUUGGGCACUUUAAUGGGACUGCCGGUGACAAACCGGAGGAAGGUGGGGAUGACGUCAAGUCCUCAUGGCCCUUAUGGCCAGGGCUUCACACGUAAUACAAUGGUCGGUACAGAGAGUUGCCAACCCGCGAGGGGAGCUAAUCUCAGAAAGCCGAUCGUAGUCCGGAUUGUUCUCUGC